rnacentral:rRNA from 1 species
AUGGUUGACGGGGACGCGUCAGGCCGGCUGGAGAGCAUUCUGACGGACUCGUCGGUGCCGCUGGCGAGGCGCGCGUGGGCGGCGGCGACUGUCGAGCUCGUGAUGCUGGCGCGUCUAGCGGCGCCGGCGGUGGUGGUGUACAUGAUCAACUACCUCAUGUCCAUGUCCACGCAGGUCCUCUGCGGCCGCCUCGGGACCCUGGAGUUCGCCGGCGCCCCCAAGAGCCCCCCCAGGGCAUCUCCAGCAAGCGUUGUCUCCAAUAGCAGCCCUAUAAUAGCUCCAACAACUGUCCUAAAAUAG